AUUGAACGCUGGCGGCAGGCCUAACCCAUGCAAGUCGAACGUGUCGCGGCCGGGUGCGUUAUUUCUGGGACACUGCCUGAUGGUGGGGGCUCACUACUGCAAACGUUAGCUAAUACCGCCUACCAUCAUAUGUGCCCAUAUGGGAUUAGCUAGUUGGUGGGGUAACGGCUCAACAGGGCGACGAUCCCUAGCUGGUCUGCGAGGAUGACCAUCCACACGGGAACUGAGACACGGUCCAGACUCCUACGGGAGGCAGCAGUGGGGAAUAUUGCACAAUGGGCGAAAGCCUGAUGCAGCCGUGCCGCGUGUAUGAAGAAGGCCUUCGGGUUGUAAAGUACUUUAAGCGGGGAGGCGAUAAACGAAGAAGAAGGACCGGCUAACUCCGUGCCAGCAGCCGCGGUAAUUC
rnacentral:rRNA from 1 species